rnacentral:rRNA from 1 species
CCUACGGGAGGCAGCAGUGGGGGAUAUUGCACAAUGGGGGAAACCCUGAUGCAGCGACGCCGCGUGAGUGAAGAAGGAUUUCGGUAUGUAAAGCUCUAUCAGCAGGGAAGAAAAUGACAGUACCUGACCAAGAAGCCCCGGCUAACUACGUGCCAGCAGCCGCGGUAAUACGUAGGGGGCAAGCGUUAUCCGGAUUUACUGGGGGUAAAGGGAGCGUAGACGGGUAUGCAAGUCUGGAGUGAAAGCCGGGGGCCCAACCCCGGGCCUGCUUUGGAAACUGUGAAACUGGAGUACAGGAGGGGCCGGCGGACUUCCUUGUGUAGCGGUGAAAUGCGUAGAUAUUAGGAGGAACACCGGCGGCGAAGGCGGCCUGCUGGACUGCAACUGACGUUGAGGCUCGAAAGCGUGGGGAGCAAACAGGAUUAGAUACCCCUGUAGUC